rnacentral:lncRNA from 1 species
AGAAUGUAAAUAAAACCCAAUCUCUGUCCUUCCAGGGGGUGAGAAAGUCAUUGUCGAUCGUGACAGGGCUGAGGUUCUUCCUACUCACUGCCACCUCCAACUCAAGGUCUCCUGGUAUUGUUUGGAAAGGACACAAAUGACAUUCUCUGAAGGCUCCAGAACCAGGCCACCAGGAUUUGUUUUGCUGUUCUUUCACUUACAAACGUACAGAACUGGAUGGACAGACAGACAGACAGACAUUAUGUGUGGGUCCUGUUUCUGGAGAACCCUAAUACGGUCGGACUAUUGAUUUGCCAUUCUACAUCUUCUCCAGUGCCUUCUCACCACUGCCCUCACUGCAUCCCACCAAUUUGCUACCUCUCAUGGAGACAGAUUGAUUCCAAGCAUCGUUGUACAUGAGGGAACAACUGGAAAUCUUUGGAGUUUUAACUAACCCAAGUUUUAAAUUUAAGGCCCAAUUUGAAAUUUAAAUGAAGCUAUAUUACCCCAAAACCUUACCCA